GACGAACGCUGGCGGCGUGCCUAAUACAUGCAAGUCGUGCGGACCUUGUUGAAAGCUUGCUUUUAAAAGGUUAGCGGCGGACGGGUGAGUAACACGUGGGCAACCUGCCUGUAAGACUGGGAUAACGCCGGGAAACCGGGGCUAAUACCAGAUCGUUUUUUCCUCCGCAUGGAGGAAAAAGGAAAGGCGGCUUCGGCUGCCACUUACAGAUGGGCCCGCGGCGCAUUAGCUAGUUGGCGGGGUAAUGGCCCACCAAGGCAACGAUGCGUAGCCGACCUGAGAGGGUGGUCGGCCACAUUAGGACUGAGACACGGCCCAAACGCCUACGGGAGGCAGCAGGAGGGAAUCUUCCGCAAUGGACGAAAGUCUGACGGAGCAACGCCGCGGGAGUGAAGAAGGCCGUCGGGUCGUAAAACUCUGUUGCCGGGGAAGAACAAGUGCCGUUCGAACAGGGCGGCGCCUUGACGGUACCCGGCCAGAAAGCCACGGCUAACUACGUG
rnacentral:rRNA from 1 species